CACGUAGGGGGCAAGCGUUGUCCGGAUUUAUUGGGCGUAAAGAGCUCGUAGGUGGUUCGGUAAGUCAGGUGUGAAACCUCCAGGCUCAACCUGGAGACGCCACUUGAUACUGCUGUGACUGGAGUCCGGUAGGGGAGCGUGGAAUUCCUGGUGUAGCGGUGAAAUGCGCAGAUAUCAGGAGGAACACCUAUAGCGAAGGCAGCUCGCUGGUACGACACUGACGCUGAGGCGCGAAAGCGUGGGGAGCGAACAGG
rnacentral:rRNA from 1 species